rnacentral:rRNA from 1 species
AGGAAGCGAGAAGUCGACGCGCCGACCCCCCGCAAGGGGGGCGAGGCGUCCGGCCCUCCGCGAGCACCCGCGUGGGUGUGGGUUACGGACCCCGUCCGAUCCCGUUCCCACCGCGGGGCUGUCCGCGAUCAUGGAGGUGUCCUCGGACGGCGUCGAAUGACUCAAAGUUCUCCGGUCCGCGACGCUACGGCUUGGAUGGUCCACCCGACCCGUCUUGAAACACGGACCAAGGAGUCUAACAUGCGCGCGAGUCGUUGGGUCGGACACGCUCCGUUAAACCCAUAGGCGCAAUGAAAGUGAAGGCCGCCGUUCGGGCGGCCGAGGGAGGACGGGGCCGGCCGGGCGCUCCGGUGCUCGGCGGUCCCCGCACCCCCGGGGCGUCUGAUCCCUCAUCGCGAGGGGAGGCGCACCCAGAGCGCACACGUUGGGACCCGAAAGAUGGUGAACUAUGCCUGGCCAGGACGAAGUCAGGGGAAACCCUGAUGGAGGUCCGUAGCGAUUCUGACGUGCAAAUCGAUCGUCGGAGCUGGGUAUAGGGGCGAAAGACUAAUCGAACCAUCUAGUAGCUGGUUCCCUCCGAAGUUUCCCUCAGGAUAGCUUGCGCUCGGAGGAGAGUCUCAUCCGGUAAAGCGAAUGAUUAGAGGCCUUGGGGCCGAAACGGCUUCAACCUAUUCUCAAACUUUAAAUGGGUGAGAACUCCGGCUUGCUCGACCGAUCGAAGCCGGAGACGGGACGCCCCUCGGGGCGAUCCCCGGGAUCGGAGUGCAUAGUGGGCCACUUUUGGUAAGCAGAACUGGCGCUGUGGGAUGAACCAAACGACGGGUUAAGGCGCCCGAAUCGACGCUCAUGGGAAACCAUGAAAGGUGUUGGUUGCUUAAGACAGCAGGACGGUGGCCAUGGAAGUCGGAAUCCGCUAAGGAGUGUGUAAUAACUCACCUGCCGAAGCAACUAGCCCUGAAAAUGGAUGGCGCUGAAGCGUCGUGCCUAUACCCGGCCGUCGCGGCAGGGCGGACCCGGCCUCGCGUCGGGUGCCGUUUGAUGCGGCGACGAGUAGGAGGGUCGCGGCGGCGCGCGCAGAAGGGUCUGGGCUCGAGCCUGCCUGGAGCCGCCGCCGGUGCAGAUCUUGGUGGUAGUAGCAAAUACUCCAGCGAGGCCCUGGAGGACUGAUGUGGAGAAGGGUUUCGUGUGAACAGCCGUUGCACACGAGUCAGUCGAUCCUAAGCCCUAGGAGAAAUCCGACGCCAACGGCGACGGGAAAAAUUUUUGAACGAGAAAGAAACCCGUUGAUCGGGCGAAAGGGAAUCCGGUUCCUAUUCCGGAACCCGGCAGCGGAACCGCUGUUUGUCGGGCCCUCACAAGGGGUUCGUCAGGGUAACCUAAAAGGGCCCGGAGACGCCGUCGGGAGCCCCGGAAAGAGUUUUCUUUUCUGCAUGAGCGUUCGAGUUCCCUG